UGGGGCGCGAGAGCAGGCGUGACCAAGCUUCGACGACCAUGCUGCCUAUUGUGUGUGGAUUUUGGCGUCUUCGGCGCCCAGAGACGCCUUCCCUUUGUUAGUUAUUGUUGUUGUUGUUUAAUUCUCAUUUCCCUCCUUUCCACGUAGCGUCCUUUCACUUGCCGAUAAGAGGGAAGUAGAGGAAGAGUAAUAACCCUUGAGUGAGGGGCUGAAAAUGGAGAACGGUGCCGAGGCCUCAGACUGUGACAGUGAUGAAACGGUGAUCGAAGGGUCGGUGACAGAGAACGAACCGGAAGACGAGGAGCUUCCCUGGAGAAGGUUGCUCUUGAAUCAGGACACAACUUGUAGAUCUGAGUUCUGUUUUCAUUCUGGU
rnacentral:lncRNA from 1 species